UCGUCGGGUAGCUAGUCUAUUCGGUGAUGCAGCUAACGCAUUAAACAUUCCGCCUGGGGAGUACGGUCGCAAGAUUAAAACUCAAAGGAAUAGACGGGGACCCGCACAAGUGGUGGAGCAUGUGGUUUAAUUCGAAGAUACGCGAAGAACCUUACCUAGCCUUGACAUAUUUUAGAACACACCAGAGAUGGAGUGGUGCCUUCGGGAGCUAAUAUACAGGUGCUGCACGGCUGUCGUCAGCUCGUGUCGUGAGAUGUUGGGUUAAGUCCCGCAACGAGCGCAACCCUCGUCACUAGUUACUAACGGUUCGGCCGAGGACUCUAGUGAGACUGCCUUCGUAAGGAGGAGGAAGGUGAGGACGACGUCAAGUCAUCAUGGUCCUUACGGCUAGGGCAACACACGUGCUACAAUGGCCAGGACAAUGAGACGCAAUACCGCGAGGUGGAGCAAAUCUAUAAACCUGGUCUCAGUUCGGAUUGUUCUCUGCAACUCGAGAACAUGAAGCUGGAAUCACUAGUAAUCGUAGAUCAGCUAUGCUACGGUGAAUACGUUCCCGGGUCUUGUACUCACCGCCCGUCACACCAUGGGAGUCGAUUUCACCCGAAGCGGGGAAGCUAAACUGGCUACCCUCCACGGUGGAAUUAGCGACUGGGGUGAAGUCGUAACAAGAUAGCCG
rnacentral:rRNA from 1 species